rnacentral:rRNA from 1 species
UACGUAGGGUGCGAGCGUUGUCCAGAAUUACUGGGCGUAAAGAGCUCGUAGGUGGUUUGUCGCGUUGUUCGUGAAAACUCACAGCUUAACUGUGGGCGUGCGGGCGAUACGGGCAGACUGGAGUACUGCAGGGGAGACUGGAAUUCCUGGUGUAGCGGUGGAAUGCGCAGAUAUCAGGAGGAACACCGGUGGCGAAGGCGGGUCUCUGGGCAGUAACUGACGCUGAGGAGCGAAAGCGUGGGGGAGCGAACAGG